rnacentral:rRNA from 1 species
CCUACGGGAGGCAGCAGUGAGGAAUAUUGGUCAAUGGACGAGAGUCUGAACCAGCCAAGUAGCGUGAAGGAUGACUGCCCUAUGGGUUGUAAACUUCUUUUAUAUGGGAAUAAAAUGUUCCACGUGUGGGAUUUUGUAUGUACCAUAUGAAUAAGGAUCGGCUAACUCCGUGCCAGCAGCCGCGGUAAUACGGAGGAUCCGAGCGUUAUUCGGAUUUAUUGGGUUUAAAGGGAGCGUAGGUGGAUUGUUAAGUCAGUUGUGAAAGUUUGCGGCUCAACCGUAAAAUUGCAGUUGAAACUGGCAGUCGUGAGUACAGUAGAGGUGGGCGGAAUGCGUGGUGUAGCGGUGAAAUGCUUAGAUAUCACGAAGAACUCCGAUUGCGAAGGCAGCUCACUGGACUGCAACUGACACUGAGGCUCGAAAGUGUGGGUAUCAAACAGGAUUAGAUACCCCUGUAGUC